rnacentral:rRNA from 1 species
UGCAAGUCGAGCGGUAGAGAGAAGCUUGCUUCUCUUGAGAGCGGCGGACGGGUGAGUAAUGCCUAGGAAUCUGCCUGGUAGUGGGGGAUAACGUUCGGAAACGGACGCUAAUACCGCAUACGUCCUACGGGAGAAAGCAGGGGACCUUCGGGCCUUGCGCUAUCAGAUGAGCCUAGGUCGGAUUAGCUAGUUGGUGGGGUAAUGGCUCACCAAGGCGACGAUCCGUAACUGGUCUGAGAGGAUGAUCAGUCACACUGGAACUGAGACACGGUCCAGACUCCUACGGGAGGCAGCAGUGGGGAAUAUUGGACAAUGGGCGAAAGCCUGAUCCAGCCAUGCCGCGUGUGUGAAGAAGGUCUUCGGAUUGUAAAGCACUUUAAGUUGGGAGGAAGGGUUGUAGAUUAAUACUCUGCAAUUUUGACGUUACCGACAGAAUAAGCACCGGCUAACUCUGUGCCAGCAGCCGCGGUAAUACAGAGGGUGCAAGCGUUAAUCGGAAUUACUGGGCGUAAAGCGCGCGUAGGUGGUUUGUUAAGUUGGAUGUGAAAUCCCCGGGCUCAACCUGGGAACUGCAUUCAAAACUGACUGACUAAAGUAUGGUAGAGGGUGGUGGAAUUU